GCAGGCUGCAACCCGCCUGCGUGAAGUUGGAAUCGCUAGUAAUCGCGGAUCAGCAUGCCGCGGUGAAUACGUUCCCGGGCCUUGUACACACCGCCCGUCACACCAUGAGAGUCGGGAACACCCGAAGUCCGUAGCCUAACCUUAACCGGGGGCGCGGCCGAAGGUGGGUUCGAUAAUUGGGGUGAAGUCGUAACAAGGUAUC
rnacentral:rRNA from 1 species